AGCGAACGCUGGCGGCAGGCCUAACACAUGCAAGUCGAACGAACCUUUCGGGGUUAGUGGCGGACGGGUGAGUAACACGUGGGAACGUGCCUUUAGGUUCGGAAUAACUCAGGGAAACUUGUGCUAAUACCGAAUGUGCUCUUCGGGGGAAAGAUUUAUCGCCUUUAGAGCGGCCCGCGUCUGAUUAGCUAGUUGGUUGAGGUAAUGGCUCUCCAAGGCGACGAUCAGUAGCUGGUCUGAGAGGAUGAUCAGCCACAUUGGGACUGAGACACGGCCCAAACUCCUACGGGAGGCAGCAGUGGGGAAUCUAGCGCAAUGGGCGAAAGCCUGACGCAGCCAUGCCGCGUGAAUGAUGAAGGUCUUAGGAUUGUAAAAUUCUUUCACCGGGGACGGUAAUGACGGUACCCGGAGAAGAAGCCCCGGCUAACUUCGUG
rnacentral:rRNA from 1 species